rnacentral:rRNA from 1 species
AACGAACGCUGGCGGCAGGCUUAACACAUGCAAGUCGAACGGGCGUAGCAAUACGUCAGUGGCGGACGGGUGAGUAACACGUGGGAAUAUGCCUUUCGGUUCGGAACAACUCGGGGAAACCCGUGCUAAUUCCGGAUACGCCCUUACGGGGAAAGAUUUAUCGCCGAAAGAUUAGCCCGCGUUGGAUUAGCUAGUUGGUGAGGUAAAGGCUCACCAAGGCGACGAUCCAUAGCUGGUUUGAGAGAACGACCAGCCACACUGGGACUGAGACACGGCCCAGACUCCUACGGGAGGCAGCAGUGGGGAAUCUUGGACAAUGGAGGAAACUCUGAUCCAGCCAUGCCGCGUGAGUGAUGAAGGCCUUCGGUUG